rnacentral:ncRNA from 1 species
GGUGGUAGCAAAUAUUCAACUAAGAACUUUGAUGAUCGAAAAGGGGAAAGAUUCCAUGUGAAUGGCACUUGUACAUAAAUUACUCAUUCCUAAGAGACGAGGGGAAGCAUGUCCAACAGUGUGUUCGUGCGCGAGAUUUGAAAAGGAAUCUGGUUAAAAUUCCUGAAUCAGGACGUGGCAGGUGACAACAACAUUAUGCAGUCUAGAGAUGUCAACAGGGCCCUUAAGAAGAGUUAUCUUUUAUGUUUAACAGUUCAUUCACCCUGGAAACAACUUAGUUGGAGGUAGGGUCCAACAACUAAAAAAGCAUUACACGUCGCGUGGUGUUUGGUGCGCCCCUUGUAGCCCUUGAAAAUCUCGAGAACCGAGUGUCUUCUACGCCCGAUCAUACUCAUAACUGCAUUAGGUCUCAAAGAUGAACAACUUCUGGUC